ACUCCUACGGGAGGCAGCAGUGGGGAAUUUUGGACAAUGGGCGAAAGCCUGAUCCAGCAAUGCCGCGUGCAGGAUGAAGGCCUUCGGGUUGUAAACUGCUUUGUACAGAACGAAACGAGAUUUGCUAAUACCAGAU
rnacentral:rRNA from 1 species